CCUUACACUCCUUCACCGGUGUGUCUGUAGGGCUCAGAUACUUUACCUUGAGUAAAUUAGAGUGUUUCAGGCAAGCUUUCGCUUGAAUACAUUAGCAUGGAAUAAUAGAAAAGGACUUCGUUUCAUUUCAUUGGUUAUGAGCGGAGUAAUGAUUAAUAGGAUAGUUGGGGGCAUUAGUACUUAAUUGUCAGAGGUGAAAUUCUUUGAUCCAUUCAGGACAAACAAAAGCGAAGGCACUUUUCAGGUGCUUUUUCAUUGGUCAGGGAGCGAAAGCAGAGGGAUCGAAGAUGAUUAGAAACCGUCGUAGUCUCUGCCGUAAACAAUGUCGACUUUGGUAUAGAGAAUAACAAAAUAAUUGUGAAAGAUUAUUAAGUUGUUUCUGUAUCAAUAGAGAAAUUAAAGUGUUUUGGAUUCAGGGGGGAAAUAUAGUCGCAAGAACGAAACUUAAAGGAAUUGACGGAAGGGCACCACCAGGCGUGGC
rnacentral:rRNA from 1 species